UACGGAGGGUGCAAGCGUUGUUCGGAUUUAUUGGGCGUAAAGGGCGUGUAGGCGGUUCGUUAAGUCUGAUGUGAAAGCCCCGGGCUCAACCCGGGAAGUGCAUUGGAAACUGACGAACUUGAGUACGGGAGAGGGCAGUGGAAUUCCUAGUGUAGGAGUGAAAUCCGUAGAUAUCGGGAGGAACACCGGUGGCGAAGGCGGCGAUCUCGGGUCGAUACGUGACGCUGAGGUGCGAAAGCGUGGGGAGCAAACAGG
rnacentral:rRNA from 1 species